GUGGGCGUAGCUCAAUUUGGUUAGAGCAUCAGAUUGUGGAUCUGAGGGUUGCCGGUUCAAUUCCGGUCGUCCACC
rnacentral:tRNA from 1 species